ensembl:lncRNA
UUGGGGGUCUCGGAGGUCUUUUCCAACCGGGACGAUUCGAUGCGAGAGGGUAUGGUGGGGAUGGGGUGAUGGUGGGACUCGAUGGUCUUGGAGAUCUCCUCCAACUUUAGUGAUGUUCUCUCCAGAUGGGGCCCAAUUGCUCCCUCGCCGUACGUCCCCGCAUCCUCCCUUCCCUGCCCACCCCACCUCGGUGGGGGGGGGGUCCCCCCGAUGCCAACAGCAAACUGCUGCCCACCUUCAUAAGGGGGAUUUCAGUGUUCUCUCACACCGCUCGGGGUCCUGCCUGCAGAAUGACUUUGGUCCCAUUAAACCUCUUCGUUAACGACGUGGGCGAUGGGGCGGAGCGCCCCCAGAAAGUCUGCGGGUGAUGCAAUGCGGGGAGAAGUGGAUGGUGGAUGGCUGAGCUCAUGCUGCCACCCAGAGGACUGUGGGCAUGAUGGAGAAAUGGGCUGCAGGAACCCCAUGGAGCUCAGCAAGGAGCAGUGCGCGGAGAUAUGGUGGGCAUAUUGGAUGAGAUGAGCUCCAGAGGUUCCCUACAACCCCAACCAUCCCAUGACCGUGUGGGGUUCUUUCCAAACCCAACCAUCCCAUGGUCCUAUAGUGUUCCUUCCAACCCCAACCAUCCCAUUAUCAUGUGAGGUUCCUUCCAACCCCAACCAUCCCAUGUUCCUAUGCGAUUCCUUCCAACCCCAACCAUCCCAUUAUUAUGUGAGGUUCCUUCCAACCCUAACCAUCCCAUUACCCAGUGGGGUUCCACCCAAACCCAACCAUCCCAUUAUCAUGUGAGGUUCCUUCCAACCCCAACCAUCCCAUGGUCUUAUAGUGUUCCUUCCAACCCCAACCAUCCCAUGAUACUAUGGAGUUCCUUCCAACCCCAACCAUCCUCUGACCCUGUGAGAUUCCUUCCAACCCCAACCAUCCCAUGGUCCUAUGGAGUUCCUUCCAACCCCAACCAUCCCACAACCCUGUGGGGCUCCUUCCAACCCAACCAUCCCAUGGUCUAAUAGUGUUCCUUCCAACCCCAACAAGUCCGUGGUCCUAUGGUGUUUCUUCCAACCCCAACCAUCCCAUGGUCUUGUGGGGCUCUCUCCAAUCCCAACCAUCCCAUGAUCCUACAAAGUUCCUUCCAACCCCAACCAUUCCAUGACCCUGUGGGGUUCCUUCCAACCCCAACCAUCCCAUGUUCCUGUGAGGUUCCACCCAACCAUAACCAUCCCAUUAUCAUGUGAGGUUCCUUCCAACCCCAACCAUCCUAUUAUCAUGUGAGAUUCCUCCAACCCCAACCAUCCCAUGGUCUUGUGGGGUUCUUUCCAAACCCAACCAUCCCAUGGUCCUAUAGUGUUCCUUCCAACCCCAACCAUCCCAUUAUCAUGUGAGGUUCCUUCCAACCCCAACCAUCCCAUGCUCCUGUGGGGUUCCACCUACCCCAACCAUCCCAUUAUCAUGUAAGAUUCUUUCCAACCCCAACCAUCCCAUGGUCUUGUGGGGUUCUUUCCAAACCCAACCAUCCCAUGGUCCUAUAGUGUUCCUUCCAACCCCAACCAUCCCAUUAUCAUGUGAGGUUCCUUCCAACCCCAACCAUCCCAUGUUCCUAUGCGAUUCCUUCCAACCCCAACCAUCCCAUUAUUAUGUGAGGUUCCUUCCAACCCUAACCAUCCCAUUACCCAGUGGGGUUCCACCCAAACCCAACCAUCCCAUUAUCAUGUGAGGUUCCUUCCAACCCCAACCAUCCCAUGGUCUUGUGGGGCUCUUUCCAACCCCAACCAUCCCAUGAUCCUAUAGUGUUUCUUCCAAUCCCAACCAUUCCAUGGUCCUGUGGGGCUCCUUCCAACCCCAACCAUCCCAUAUCCCUAUAGUGUUCCUUCCAACCCCAACCAUCCCAUGGCCCUAUGAAAUUCCUUCCAACCCCAACCAUCCCAUUAUCCUGUGAAGUUCCUUCCAACCCCAACCAUCCCAUGAUCCUAUAGUGUUCCUUCCAACCCCAACCAUCCCAUGGUCCUGUGGGGCUCCUUCCAACCCCAACCAUCCCAUGGCCCUAUGGUGUUCCUUCCAACCCCAACCAUCCCAUGGUCCUAUGAAGUUCCUACCAACCUCAACCAUCCCAUGGUCCUAUGGAGUUCCUUCCAACCCCAACCAUCCCACAACCCUGUGGGGCUCCUUCCAACCCAACCAUCCCAUGGUCUAAUAGUGUUCCUUCCAACCCCAACAAGUCCGUGGUCCUAUGGUGUUUCUUCCAACCCCAACCAUCCCAUGGUCUUGUGGGGCACUUUCCAAUCCCAACCAUCCCAUGAUCCUACGAAGUUCCUCUCAACCUCAACCAUUCCAUGACCCUGUGGGGUUCCACCCAACCCCAACCAUCCCAUUAUCAUGUGGGGUUCCACCCAACCCCCACCAUCCCAUUAUCAUGUGAGGUUCCUUCCAACCACAACCAUCCUAUUAUCAUGUGAGAUUCCUUCCAACCCCAACCACCCCAUGAUCCUAUGAAGUUCCUUCCAACCCCAACCAUCCCAUAUCCCUAUAGUGUUUCUUCCAAUCCCAAGCAUUCCAUGGUCCUGUGAGAUUCCUUCCAACCCCAACCAUCCCAUGAUCCUGAGAGGUUCCUUCCAACCCCAACCAUCCCAUGGCCCUAUGAAAUUCCUUCCAACCCCAACCAUCCCACGAUCCUGUGAGGUUCCUUCCAACCCCAACCAUCCCAUGGUCCUAUAGUGUUCCUUCCAACCCCAACCAUCCCAUGGUCCUAUGGUGUUCCUUCCAAUCCCAACCAUCCCAUGACCCCAUGCAAUUCCUUCCAACCCCAACCAUCCCAUGAUCCUGUGAGGUACCACCCAACCAUAACCAUCCCAUUAUCAUGUGAGGUUCCUUCCAACCCCAACCAUCCUAUUAUCAUGUGAGAUUCCACCCAACCCCAACCAUCCCAUGGUCUUGUGGGGCUCUUUCCAACCCCAACCAUCCCAUGAUCCUAUAGUGUUUCUUCCAAUCCCAACCAUUCCAUGGUCCUGUGAGAUUCCUUCCAACCCCAACCAUCCCAUGGCCCUAUGAAAUUCCUUCCAACCCCAACCAUCCCACGAUCCUGUGAGGUUCCUUCCAACCCCAACCAUUCCAAGGUCCUAUGAAGUUCCUUCCAACCCCAACCAUCCCAUGGUCCUACGAAGUUCCUUCCAACCCCAACCAUCCCAUUAUCAUGUGAGGUUCCUUCCAACCCCAACCAUCCCAUUACCCAGUGGGGUUCCACCCAAACCCAACCAUCCCAUUAUCAUGUGAGGUUCCUUCCAACCCCAACCAUCCCAUGGUCUUAUAGUGUUCCUUCCAACCCCAACCAUCCCAUGAUACUAUGGAGUUCCUUCCAACCCCAACCAUCCUCUGACCCUGUGAGAUUCCUUCCAACCCCAACCAUCCCAUGGUCCUAUGGAGUUCCUUCCAACCCCAACCAUCCCACAACCCUGUGGGGUUCCUUCCAACCCAACCAUCCCAUGGUCUAAUAGUGUUCCUUCCAACCCCAACAAGUCCGUGGUCCUAUGGUGUUUCUUCCAACCCCAACCAUCCCAUGGUCUUGUGGGGCUCUUUCCAAUCCCAACCAUCCCAUGAUCCUACAAAGUUCCUUCCAACCCCAACCAUUCCAUGACCCUGUGGGGUUCCUUCCAACCCCAACCAUUCCAAGGUCCUAUGAAGUUCCUUCCAACCCCAACCAUCCCAUGGUCCUAUGAAGUUCCUUCCAACCCCAACCAUCCCAUUAUCAUGUGAGGUUCCUUCCAACCCCAACCAUCCCAUUACCCAGUGGGGUUCCACCCAACCCCAACCAUCCCAUGGUCCUGUGGGGUUCCACCGCCCCAACCAUCCCUUUAUCAUGAGAAGUUCCUUCCAACCCCAACCAUCCCAUGACCCUGUGGGGCUCUUUCCAACCCCAACCAUCCCGUGGUCCUAUGGAAUUCCUUCCAACCCCAACCAUCCCAUGGUCUUGUGGGGCUCUUUCCAACCCCAACCAUCCCAUGAUCCUAUAGUGUUUCUUCCAAUCCCAACCAUUCCAUGGUCCUGUGGGGUUCCUUCCAACCCCAACCAUCCCAUGAUCCUGAGAGGUUCAUUCCAACCCCAACCAUCCCAUGGCCCUAUGAAAUUCCUUCCAACCCCAACCAUCCCAUUAUCCUGUGAAGUUCCUUCCAACCCCAACCAUCCCAUAUCCCUAUAGUGUUCCUUCCAACCCCAACCAUCCCAUGAUCCUAUAGUGUUCCUUCCAACCCCAACCAUCCCAUGGUCCUGUGGGGCUCCUUCCAACCCCAACCAUCCCAUGGCCCUAUGGUGUUCCUUCCAACCCCAACCAUCCCAUGGUCCUAUGAAGUUCCUACCAACCUCAACCAUCCCAUGGUCCUAUGGAGUUCCUUCCAACCCCAACCAUCCCACGACCCUGUGGGGCUCCUUCCAACCCAACCAUCCCAUGGUCUAAUAGUGUUCCUUCCAACCCCAACAAGUCCGUGGUCCUAAGGUGUUUCUUCCAACCCCAACCAUCCCAUGGUCUUGUUAGGCUCUUUCCAACCCCAACCAUCCCAUGAUCCUAUGAAGUUCCUUCCAACCCCAACCAUCCCAUGGUCUUAUAGUGUUCCUUCCAACCCCAACCAUCCCAUGAUCCUGUGGGGUUCCACCCAACACCAACCAUCCCAUGGUUCCUUCCAACGCCAAACAUUCCAUGAUCCUAUGAAGUUCCUUCCAACCCCAACUAUCCCACGACCCAGUGAGGUUCCUUCCAACCAUCCCAUGACCCCAUGCAAUUCCUUCCAACCCCAACCAUCCCAUGAUCCUAUGAAGUUCCUUCCAACCCCAACCAUCCCAUGGUCCUGUGGGGCUCCUUCCAACCCCAACCAUCCCAUGGUCCUGUGAGGUUCCUUCCAACCCCAAGUAUCCAACAACCCUGUGGGGUUCCUUCCAACCCCAACCAUCCCACAACCCCGUGAGGUUCCUUCCAACCAUCCCAUGGUCCUAUGGUGUUUCUUCCAACCCCAACCAUCCCAUUAUCAUGUGAGAUUCCUUCCAACCCCAACCAUCCCAUGGUCUUGUGGGGCACUUUCCAAUCCCAACCAUCCCAUGAUCCUACGAAGUUCCUCUCAACCUCAACCAUUCCAUGACCCUGUGGGGUUCCACCCAACCCCAACCAUCCCAUUAUCAUGUGGGGUUCCACCCAACCCCCACCAUCCCAUUAUCAUGUGAGGUUCCUUCCAACCCCAACCACCCCAUGAUCCUAUGAAGUUCCUUCCAACCCCAACCAUCCCAUAUCCCUAUAGUGUUUCUUCCAAUCCCAACCAUUCCAUGGUCCUGUGAGAUUCCUUCCAACCCCAACCAUCCCACGAUCCUGUGAGGUUCCUUCCAACCCCAACCAUUCCAAGGUCCUAUGAAGUUCCUUCCAACCCCAACCAUCCCAUGGUCCUAUGAAGUUCCUUCCAACCCCAACCAUCCCAUGGUCUUGUGGGGCUCUUUCCAAUCCCAACCAUCCCAUGAUCCUACGAAGUUCCUUCCAACCCCAACCAUCCCAUUACCCAGUGGGGUUCCACCCAACCCCAACCAUCCCAUUAUCAUGUGAGAUUCCUUCCAACCCCAACCAUCCCAUGACCCUGUGGGGCUCUUUCCAACCCCAACCAUCCCGUGGUCCUAUGGAGUUCCUUCCAACCCCAACCAUCCCACAACCCUGUGGGGCUCCUUCCAACCCAACCAUCCCAUGGUCUAAUAGUGUUCCUUCCAACCCCAACAAGUCCGUGGUCCUAUGGUGUUUCUUCCAACCCCAACCAUCCCAUGGUCUUGUGGGGCUCUUUCCAACCCCAACCAUCCCAUGAUCUUGUGAGGUUCCUUCCAACCCCAACCAUUCCAUGGUCCUAUAGUGUUCCUUCCAACCCCAACCAUCUCCUGACCCUUUGGGGUUCCUUCCAACCCCAACCAUCCCAUGAUCCUAUGAAGUUCCUUCCAAUCCCAACUAUCCCACGACCCCAUGCAAUUCCUUCCAACCCCAACCACCCCAUGACCCCGUGAGGUUCCUUCCAACCAUCCCAUGACCCCAUGCAAUUCCUUCCAACCCCAACCAUCCCAUGGUCCUAUGGUGUUUCUUCUAACCCCAACCAUCCCAUGAUCCUGUGAGAUUCCUUCCAACCCCAACCAUUCCAUGGUCUUGUGGGGCUCUUUCCAACCCCAAACAAUCCCAUGACCCUGUGAGGUUCCUUCCAACCCCAACUAUCCAACAACCGUGUGGGGUUCCUUCCAACCCCAACCAUCCCACCACCCCGUGAGGUUCCUUCCAACCAUCCCAUGGUCCUAUGGUGUUCCUUCCAACCCCAACCAUCCCAUUAUCAUGUGAGGUUCAUUCCAAACCCAACCAUCCCAUGGCCUUGUGGGGCUCUUUCCAACCCCAACCAUCCCAUGAUUCUAUGAAGUUCCUUCCAACCCCAACCAUCCCAUGGUCCUAUGCGAUUCUUUCCAACCCCAACCAUCCCAUGAUCCUGAGAGGUUCCUUCCAACCCCAACCAUCCCAUGGUCCUAUGGUAUUCCUUCCAACCCCAACCAUUCCACAACCCUGUGGGGCUCCUUCCAACCCCAACCAUCCCAUGGUCCUGUGAGGUACCUUCCAACCCCAACCAUCCCACGACCCUGUGGGGCUCUUUCCAACCCCAACCAUCCCAUGAUCCUCUGAAGUUCCUUCCAACCUCAACCAUCCCCUGACCCUGUGAGAUUCCUUCCAACCCCAACCAUCCCGUGGUCCUAUGGUUUUCCUUCCCACCCCAACCAUUCCAUGGUCCUGUGAGGUUCCUUCCAACCAUCGCCUGACCCUGUCCGAUUCCUUCCAACCCCAACCAUCCCAUGAUCCCACGAGUCACCACCAGAUGGCUGCUGACCCACAGCGUUUCCCACAGCAUCCACU